CUGCAUUCUGUAGCUAAAGCUUAUGUCCGAUUCAUUUUUAUUUCAAAGUAUCUGCUUUGGUUUUCAACGUUUCAACUGAAAACCCUCUAAGAACAGAUUGAAA